GACGUGCUAAUCUGCGAUAAGCGUCGGUGAGGUGAUAUGAACCGUUAUAACCGGCGAUUUCCGAAUGGGGAAACCCAGUGUGUUUCGACACACUAUCAUUAACUGAAUCCAUAGGUUAAUGAGGCGAACCGGGGGAACUGAAACAUCUAAGUACCCCGAGGAAAAGAAAUCAACCGAGAUUCCCCCAGUAGCGGCGAGCGAACGGGGAGGAGCCCAGAGCCUGAAUCAGUGUGUGUGUUAGUGGAAGCGUCUGGAAAGGCGCGCGAUACAGGGUGACAGCCCCGUACACAAAAAUGCACAUAUUGUGAGCUCGAUGAGUAGGGCGGGACACGUGGUAUCCUGUCUGAAUAUGGGGGGACCAUCCUCCAAGGCUAAAUACUCCUGACUGACCGAUAGUGAACCAGUACCGUGAGGGAAAGGCGAAAAGAACCCCGGCGAGGGGAGUGAAAAAGAACCUGAAACCGUGUACGUACAAGCAGUGGGAGCCUCUUAAUGGGGUGACUGCGUACCUUUUGUAUAAUGGGUCAGCGACUUAUAUUCUGUAGCAAGGUUAACCGAAUAGGGGAGCCGAAGGGAAACCGAGUCUUAACUGGGCGUUAAGUUGCAGGGUAUAGACCCGAAACCCGGUGAUCUAGCCAUGGGCAGGUUGAAGGUUGGGUAACACUAACUGGAGGACCGAACCGACUAAUGUUGAAAAAUUAGCGGAUGACUUGUGGCUGGGGGUGAAAGGCCAAUCAAACCGGGAGAUAGCUGGUUCUCCCCGAAAGCUAUUUAGGUAGCGCCUCGUGAAUUCAUCUCCGGGGGUAGAGCACUGUUUCGGCAAGGGGGUCAUCCCGACUUACCAACCCGAUGCAAACUGCGAAUACCGGAGAAUGUUAUCACGGGAGACACACGGCGGGUGCUAACGUCCGUCGUGAAGAGGGAAACAACCCAGACCGCCAGCUAAGGUCCCAAAGUCAUGGUUAAGUGGGAAACGAUGUGGGAAGGCCCAGACAGCCAGGAUGUUGGCUUAGAAGCAGCCAUCAUUUAAAGAAAGCGUAAUAGCUCACUGGUCGAGUCGGCCUGCGCGGAAGAUGUAACGGGGCUAAACCAUGCACCGAAGCUGCGGCAGCGACACUAUGUGUUGUUGGGUAGGGGAGCG
rnacentral:rRNA from 2 species